UUUUUUUUUAAUUUUUUAUUGGAUUAUAGGUUUUGGGGUACAUGAGCAGAGCAUGCAAGACAGUUGCGUAGGUACACACAUGGCAGUGUGCUUUCUUUUCUUCUCCCCUUCACCCACAUUUGGCAUUUCUCCCCAGGCUAUCCCUCCCCACCUCCCCCUCCCACUGGCCCUCCCCUUUUCCCCCCAAUAGACCUCAGUGUUUAGUACUCCCCUUUCUGUGUCCAUGUGUUCUCAUUUUUCAUCACCCACCUAUGAGUGAGAAUAUGCGGUGUUUCAUUUUCUGUUCUUGUACUUAUUUCUUUAUUAAUCUAUUCUCUUAAAAAUAAUAUGUUGUUCCUUCAUGAAGUAAUUAGCUUUUUCUUUCCCUAUAUUUCAAAAUCAAUGAUUUUCUUUAGGGUGACUUGUAUCACACAGGAUUUUAAACUAACAAAGAUUAUUCCUCAGAAUAGAAACAUGAUCUGAACAUAUAUUUUUGUAUUUGUCAAUAUUUGCUCUGGACUAAGAUUGCUUUAGUCAGAGAUCAUCCCCGUUCUUUUGCCUUUCAUUUUUCUUUUUCCUUUGAAUAGUUCCCCACAGGAGUUGGGAGACAAGCUUCUUUUUUCUCUGGCUGUAAAGCUAUUGAAGAUAAGUCUGGACCUCUUGGAGGAUGAAGUUUUACUCUGUGGAGUACACUGGUUUAAAACCAAAAUCAAAAGAAGGAAGAUACGGAGCAAGAGAGAAAGAGGAUGAGACCACAAGUCCUGGAAUAGGAAAAUCUCUGCCUGAAGGAUAGAAACCACUAGCUCCUGAAUUCUGGUCAACUUCAAGCCAAAGAAUGUAUAGGAAGAAGCCAAGUGCAGAACUGGGAGCCAAAAGCAGAACUGGGAGGCCAGUAUGGAUGAUGUGAAAAAUAACAGAGGGAAAGAUCACAGUGAAGGAGUUGGAGAAAAGAAGAAUGACAUUCCAAGGCUCCUGCUUCAGUGACACGGUAGAUGGUGGUGUCAUUAGCUGAACUAAAAAAGACUGAGGGAUACCAGGUUUCUGGCAGAGAGAAAUACAACAAAAAAUUUUAGAACAUGUUAAGUUUGAGAUAUCUAUGACACAUCCAAGCACAGAUAUCAUGUAAGAUAUUGUAUUUACCACUCUGGCUCUUAGAAAAAUACAAAAAUUAGCUGGGCAUGUUGGCAAAUGGCUGUAAUCCUGGCUACUCGGUGGCUGAGACACAAGAAUCACUUGAAUCUGUGAGACAGAGCUUGCAGUGAGCUAAGAUCUCAUGCACCACUGCACUCCAGCCUGGGCGAUAGAGCAAGACUGUGUAAAAACAAAAACAAAACAAACAAACAAAAAUACCUGAUGAAAUCACCUGUAGAGAGAGCUAUAGAGAGACCAUAACAAGAGAAGAAAAUGGAGCCAAGGACUCAGUCCUGAGAAAAUGCAACCAGCAGAUUUUUGGUAGCAAAGAAAGAAUCAGAAAAGCAAGUCAGUUAAUAAGGUAGGAAGAAAAUGGAGUCUAUUUCUGCAAGAAGAAAGUGUUAGAAUAUAAUAGAAUUACAUGUCUGAUUAAAUAUUGCUGAGCAGUCAUAAUAAGGAUUGAAAAAUUUCUAUUUGGUUUUGUCACAUGAAGGCUUUUGCUUAUCAUGACCUGGGCACAUAUCUGAGAAAAUGAAUGUGAAUAGCUUAGGUAAAAAAAAAAGGGCAUGAGAACAUCCCAAUCAAGGAAAAUAAUGUAUGUGACUUCCCUAGAUGGAAAAGGAAGAGGCCAAGUCACCAGAGAUCCUGUAUGAGUGACAUAUGGGUACAGAAGAGAGUGAUAGCAGAGGAGGCUAACAUUGCAGGGAAGAGAUUUUUUAAAAUAUGGAGAUAUAAAUAUCAAUAUAUGUCUUAUCAAUAUAAAUAAUAUUUUCACAAAAAAUUAAAAAUUUACUAUGUAAAACUGGAGAGAUAGAGUUAAGUAGAAUAUUCUAGAGAGAAGAUAUAACAGGCACAAAAGCCCAGUGCUACGGAGCAGUAUGGUACCCUUAGAGCACUGAAGUACUUAGGCUGAAGUGGAGCAUGUUGUGGAGCAGUGAGAGGAAAUAUUCUACAGGGUAGCUGGGGAUCAGUCAGUCUGAGGGACUGUAGGUGCCAUGUUAGGUUUGAGCUUAUUCUAUAGACAGUGGUCUAUAGAAUAUAUAAGUUCUUCUAUAGAGACUGAAGAACUCUAAGCAGCUGAGUGACAUAAUGUGAUUUAUAAUGAUUAAUAUUUUGAAAAGAUAAUUCUAGUAACAAUGUGGGAGAAAAUUUGGAGUUGGGGUUGGAGGAAUAAGACUGAAAGCUGGGAGCCCAAAAGGGGAAUAUCAUGUAUAGGCAAGAAAUGUUGACUGCCUGAACUAAGAUGAUGGCUGUGGAAAUAAAGAAGGAAAAGACAAAUUCUCAAAUUUUUAAAGAAGUGGAAAUGAAAAAAAUUAAUAAUAUUUGGAGGUAAGGGACUGUGAAAAGAAAUUUUCAAGGUAGUUCCCAGGUCUUAGGCUUGGGUGAUCAGAUGGAUCUUGAUGCCAUCACACAAAAUGGGAAAUGAGUAUAUCAAACAUCAAAUAAAGACAAUGAAGAUUUCCAUGAGGACAAAAGUUUCCUUAGUAUAUGAAGUGAUACAAAAGUUCGAAAUAUGGAAGCUUGGAGUCUGAAAGUAAGUUAUUAGAAUUUGGGAAUUUAAGGUAGGAGUUAUUCUAAAUAAUGAAAUGGAUCAAGAUUUCUUAUAGAAGAAUAAAAAGGUAGAAACAUUAGAGCCAGAUAACUGAUUAGAAUUUUUAAAAGUCAUAUGCGCAAUUGUUCUGAACAGAUGUUCAAAAUGGUUGGUAAUAUGACUGGAAGCUUUCUAGAGGAUAAAAGUAGAAACAGAAUGAGUUAAAAUGUUCACAGCAUCUUUAAGAUACAAAUCAAAUAGUUGUUCAUCAGAAGCCCAGCUUUCCAACAUUCUAGGACAUAAAAAAAAGUUUAUCCUGUGAAUUAUCUAAAGAGUACACUGACUUUGGUUUUAAAAGUGGGGUGUGCUUCCUCUGACAGUCAUGUCAAGUGCCUGUUACUACUUAGACCCCUGGGAUAAACAUGGCACAUCUCUGUGGAAUUGAAAUUUAUUUGAAAAUUUAGAUAACAAAUUAUAAUCAUUUAUUCAUAUUAAAACCAACACAUAUGUACAUAGUAGCAGAAAAUAAUUGGUGAGCUUUUUUGACAAAACAUGGGCCUACAAUUAAUUUCUAUUCCAAAACUGAGAGAUACCACUACAUCCUCCUUCAUGUUUUGAAGGUUAUAGAGACUCUGUGCUUUUCAAAUUUUUUCAUUAAUUUAAACACUAGAUAGAUAAGAUCCUAAUAGUAAUAACUGUUAUGAAUCAUAUAUAGAUUUUUGUUCUCGAUGGAGGCUGGUGGUUCAAUGUUAAUGAAAAUAAUACAUUAGGGGCCAAAACAAUGCAGAAUACUACUCAGUUCUCUCUUGUUCUAAUUUGAACCAAGGACAAAUUUUAUCAGGGGUUACGAUGCAUAUAUUUCACAUAGUCUUUCAAAAGUGUUAUUUAUUUUAACACAAUUUUUAAAUAAGAUUGGGCAAGAGAGAGUUCAAGGUUAUAUUAUUUGACAAGUAUCUGGAGUGUAAUUAUAUUAUAUUGCCAGUUAUGAGUUGGUUUAUAUGCAUUGAUGAUCAAAAUUUUAGGUAGAAAUUUAGGCUAACAGAACCUAACUCAUAAAAAAUAUGUGCCUGAAAAGACUCUUCAAGGACAUGAGCUGAGACAUAACAGAAAGCUCACUUUAGUGUAAAUGAUUCCAUGAGCAGAGACAAGAUAGAAAAAGAAAUGUCUUCCUUCUAAAAGAAAUUUGCAUCCGUUACAACUUACAAACAGAUGGAUAACCAAAUCUCCAAAGGAUAUAUCAGGAACAUGGCCAUGAUAAUUCUAAAAUAGAAAAAUAAAUUUAAGUAACUGCUACUAAACACCUGCUAUAGACAUGGGAACAAAAAACCUUUGAAAAUUGUUUACAUUUAAAUAAGUAAACUGAUUGCACAAUGUAUCUGUAGAUAAUGAGCAAGAUGGCUUAUUUAACACCAUAUUUCUAAAACCUGGCUUUGCCUUAGCAUCACUUGAGAAUAUUUUCUAAAUCAUAGAUCCUCAGGCUACACCUCACACACCUACUAACUGAGAAUCACCCAGGAGACUGUAUGCCUAACAGGCUUUCCAAAUAAUUCCUGUGCAUCCAAACUUAGGGAGCUCUGCAAGCCUGUUCACUAUGAAGCAGAUGGAGGCUAGAUAUUCAUUACCAAAAAUAAUUACCCUCUCCAUGCAACAGUUGUGGUUUAGCUAUUCUAACAUUAUGUAGACAGCACUGCUAAAAUAAUUCUAAUUUGUGGCAAUAAAACAAUGUUCCCAGCACACAUGAGGUUGAUUGUUUUUCCCUGGUCUCUACUUGGAGAGCCAGCAGGUGCCUGCAUCAAGCUCACACAAAAGAAGUAUUGAGUUAUUAAAAAACUAGUUGAAGAAAAGGGAAGUAAAUACACAACCUUAUUUUAUCUGCUGGAAAUUAUCUUACUCACUGCUAUUUUUUUUUUUUUUUUUUUUUU